GAAUUUUUUUAACGUAUUUCCAAGAUUUUUGGAUAUGCCUGAACUGAUUGAUGUAGAAUUUAAUCUACUUUUUCCUGAAAUUGAUCCAGAUAGAUUUUGUAAGAUAUAUCCACAAUAUAUCGAUGCUAUUUUGUCAGUUUUUGAAACUAAAAAAAAUAAAAUUCCUCUUGAAUGGAAUCUUAUUACUAACUCAUUUAUUGCCUUGGCACUAUUAUUACCACCAACAGCAAAA